GAAAGCAGAUAGAAAGAGAGACUAUGUCGACACUUCUAAGAAGUCCUAUUGGAUAUUGUAGAGGCUUGAAUGGUGUCCCCUCAAGAUUCACACCCAGCCCGGACUGGAGAAGGUGACUUUAUUUAGAAGUAAGGUCCUUGCGGAUGUGGCUAAUUAAGUUCAUAUUUGAUUAGAAUGGAACCUGAAUCCACUGACUGAGGUCCUUGAAGAAAAGGAAAGGAGGCGGACAGAGACACACGUAGAGGAGGAGGCCACGUGACAACACAGGCAGAGAAUGAUGUGAUGUGGCCACAAGCCAGGACCAUCAGAAGCCACCAGAAGCUGGAAGGGACAAGGAACGGCCUCUCCCAGGGAGCCCGCAGAGGAAGCGUGGUGCAGAGCCGGCCCAGGCAUUGGCCAAACCCUGGACUCUGGGCUAACCCAGGCCAUCACCUCCUGCCCUGGUGGCCUUGAACAUCGUGCUCAGACUCUGUGCUCACAGGCUCCUCGGCUGGGAAAGCAGACAGGUCGUUACCACCUGAACGGGCGCAGACUGGGAGCUGGGGAAAGGCCGGGACCGCGCCCAUCUCUCCCCAUCCGUGGGCAGCGCCUGGCACGCAGGGUCCGCAUCAUUCGGAGCUGACAGAAAAGUCAUGUCAGAGCCAAGCUCUGGAAAUCGCAGAUGUUAAAAAGACGGCAAUCGUGGGGAGGUGCCACCCCAAACCCUCCAGCGCCCUCGGUGACCAGUGCUGAGCAGGGGGUGCGCAGGAGCUGGGCCGGGACGGGGCCGUUCACAAGGGCAACCCCCUCAAGAACUCCUGCGCCCUCCCCUUUCCUGCAGCGGCACUUUAUCCCCUCUGCAGAAGGGAUCGAUCUCGAUGUCAGUCAGAACGGAGCUCACCUCCGACUAACUCACACAACAGAUUAGAGGCUGAUCAGACGCUCGUUAACGCGGCACUUUGAUAACAAUAUCACUUAGAUCUCACACUGCUUAAUUAGAUUUCAUUCAUUGCCAUCA